CCCUACGGGGUGCAGCAGGCGCGAACACUUUACAAUGCGGGAAACCGCGAUAAGGGAACCCCGAGUGCCAGCAUCAAAUGUUGGCUGUCCGGAUGAUUAAAAAUCAUUUGUUAGCAAGGGCCGGGCAAGACCGGUGCCAGCCGCCGCGGUAACACCGGCGGCCCGAGUGGUAGCCGUUUUUAUUGGGUCUAAAGGGUCCGUAGCCGGCCUGAUAAGUCCUUUGGGAAAUCUGGCAGCUUAACUGUCAGGCCUCUAAGGGAUACUGUCAGGCUUGGGACCGGAAGAGGUAAGGGGUACUCCAGGGGUAGGAGUGAAAUCUUGUAAUCCCUGGGGGACCAUCUGUGGCGAAGGCGCCUUACCAGAACGGGUCCGACGGUGAGGGACGAAAGCUAGGGGAGCAAACCGGAUUAGAUACCCGGGUAGUCCUAGCUGUAAACGAUGCUCGCUAGGUGUCAGACACGGUGCGACCGUGUUUGGUGCCGCAGGGAAGCCGUUAAGCGAGCCACCUGGGAAGUACGGUCGCAAGGCUGAAACUUAAAGGAAUUGGCGGGGGAGCAC
rnacentral:rRNA from 1 species